UCCGCUUGCUGGUUUUGCGGAGAGCUGUUUAGUGUGGAGGAAGCCCCGCCCCUCCCCUCGCUGUGAGUUCAGGCAGCUAGUCGGAGCAGCUGUCGUUAAAGCUAAUCUGGAUAUACGGAGAUUUUUCUAAAAGAAAGAAUGGACGCCGCUGAUAUCCACAGUGAAAAGUGGAACUGUGUAAACUCCUGAGCUGAAAGCUCAUCUCAUGAAGCUCAAUUGUCUUUUUCUGCGUUUUUUUCUUAUCGCUGAUUAGUUGCAUACUGCCACCUAUCGUUCAAUUACUGAGGAGGGAGCCAUCCAGCCUGUUUUUUCGGGUUACAAAAUAGUCUAGGACCAGUUUCCCAAAUGUUUCGUAGCACUAAGACAAGUCUGAGAUGGUUGAGCGAGCUUCACACUGAGCUCUCUCUCCAUGUUUAAAUGUUCUUAAUGCUAAGAGGGAAACAGGACCCAGACCUUUACCAUGAAAUAUACUAUUUCUACUCUGGAAUAUGUUGUUGUUUGUUAUUGUUAUUUUUUUGCAAACUGUUAUUAAUAAAAAUCAAACGUAAUUAUGUCUGAUCAUCAUUACAUUUUUCUACAUUUCACCCAAACUAAUUGGAAUUAAACAUACACCCAAGCAUUAUGUCUACAUAAAUAAAGACUGAUACAAA